rnacentral:lncRNA from 1 species
UGAUCUGAGCGAGUAAAGCUCCAAAGCACAGAGACCUCCCCCAGAGCCAGUCUGCCAUCUUACCCCCAGGAAGGUCUUCUCCAUGCUGCAGCUGCUGAUGUUUCUGAAGUAUGAGCCCAACCUCAUCUUCCUCUUCUGAAAUGAUCACAACUCGCCAUGUCAAGAUCUAAGGCAGAUGAUAGGUCAUCUCCAGUACAGCAGUUCAAGGUAUGGUCUGGAGACGUCUGCAGGUCCUGGAGAACUUUGCAGGGUAUGUGUUAUCAAACUUCUUUUCAUAACGAGACUAAGACUUUAUUUUAUUUCUCAUUCUCUCAGAAGUGUACAGUGGAUUUCCCCAGAGGACAUAUGAUGGGUGAUAUCACAAUACUGAAAGCAGAAGGAGAUGUGAGAAUGUAUUUGCAGUCUAUAAAGUUAGACACUAGGGGAGAUUUAGAAAAAGGUAAAAUUAUGCCAUCCUUCUCAC